rnacentral:rRNA from 1 species
AGCCUACGGGGGGCAGCAGUGGGGAAUAUUGCACAAUGGGGGGAACCCUGAUGCAGCGACGCCGCGUGGGUGAAGGAGUAUUUCGGUAUGUAAAGCCCUAUCAGCAGGGAAGAACAAUGACGGUACCUGACUAAGAAGCACCGGCUAAAUACGUGCCAGCAGCCGCGGUAAUACGUAGGGGGCAAGCGUUAUCCGGAUUUACUGGGUGUAAAGGGAGCGUAGACGGCAGGGCAAGUCUGGAGUGAAAGCCCGGGGCCCAACCCCGGGACUGCUUUGGAAACUGCCAUGCUAGAGUGCUGGAGAGG